GGAUGAACGCUGGCUACAGGCUUAACACAUGCAAGUCGAGGGGAAACGGCGUUGAGUGCUCGCACUCUUCGGACGUCGACCGGCGCACGGGUGAGUAACGCGUAUCCAACCUUCCCGUCACUGCGGGAUAACCUGCCGAAAGGCAGACUAAUACCGCAUGGCCUUCACUGACGGCAUCAGAGGUGAAGUAAAGCUUUUUAGCGGUGACGGACGGGGAUGCAUCUGAUUAGCUGGUUGGCGGGGCGACGGCCCACCAAGGCUACGAUCAGUAGGGGUUCUGAGAGGAAGGUCCCCCACAUUGGAACUGAGACACGGUCCAAACUCCUACGGGAGGCAGCAGUGAGGAAUAUUGGUCAAUGGGCGGAAGCCUGAACCAGCCAAGUAGCGUGCAGGAUGACGGCCCUACGGGUUGUAAACUGCUUUUAUGCGGGGAUAAAGUGAGGGACGUGUCCCUUUUUGCAGGUACCGCAUGAAUAAGGACCGGCUAAUUCCGUGCCAGCAGCCGCGGUAAUACGGAAGGUCCGGGCGUUAUCCGGAUUUAUUGGGUUUAAAGGGAGCGUAGGCCGGGGAUUAAGUGUGUUGUGAAAUGUAGGCGCUCAACGUCUGAUGUGCAGCGCAUACUGGUUCCCUUGAGUACGCGCAACGCCGGCGGAAUUCGUCGUGUAGCGGUGAAAUGCUUAGAUAUGACGAAGAACCCCGAUUGCGAAGGCAGCCGGCGGGAGCGCAACUGACGCUGAAGCUCGAAGGUGCGGGUAUCGAACAGGAUUAGAUGCCCUGGUAGUCCGCACGGUAAACGAUGGAUGCCCGCUCUCGGCGCCUGGCGCCGGGGGCCAAGCGAAAGCGUUAAGCAUCCCACCUGGGGAGUACGCCGGCAACGGUGAAACUCAAAGGAAUUGACGGGGGCCCGCACA
rnacentral:rRNA from 1 species